AAAAACAGACCUGCCAACAGUAAAGAGCUCGUGACUCUGACUAUUAAAUUAAACAGUUUGUGAGAAAACUUUGCUCUAAAAAGCUCCCUUGCACUAGCUCUCCACACACCCUUGAGACUACAUGAGAUACCCAUAUGCAUGCUUUGAGCGACAUUGCCAAACCCACUAGCGAGAUGAUCACAAGAAGAGAAGGCACAAACCAUUAUUCAAGAUCACACGGAACUACAGAACAGUACCUCUGCUUUUUUUAAUCGUGAGGUGCAGCACAAGUUCAAC
rnacentral:lncRNA from 1 species